GGAGAUGUGGCACAGUGAGCAUGGUGGAGUAAGAAAAAGAGACCUUGGAGAGAUCAGAUCUGUGUACCGUGACUGUUCAGAACAACUUAGCUCAAGCCAAGCCUGAAGGAUUAAUAGAGCCCUGGACAAUUUGGAAGAAGAUUCAUAGCGAAAGUCAUGCUGAUAGUUCCUGCUUAUACCAUUUUAAGAGCUGCUGCCUUCUUAUUUGAUAAAUUGAGAAUAUCACCAAUAAAAAGGAUAUAUCACAGCAGCCUUUCAGGUAAGCUAUACCACUACGUCCCAGACUGCCCAAGCUCCCAGAGGACCUUCUUGAAUAUUCCUUAGCAGUCAUAACUGGAACCAUCAUCCUUUGUGCAGUUCUCAAUGAGAAGUUCCCAGCAAUGGAAAACACAGUUCAAUGGAGAGUAACUACAACCACAGUCUGAGCACAAGAUUGUAAAUCACCACUGUGAGACAGAAAAAAAUACAAAAGCACCAAUGGACAAAUUACAUAAAAUAAUAAUAUUCUG
rnacentral:lncRNA from 1 species